rnacentral:rRNA from 1 species
UACGAAGGGGGCUAGCGUUGCUCGGAAUCACUGGGCGUAAAGCGCACGUAGGCGGAUUGUUAAGUCAGGGGUGAAAUCCUGGAGCUCAACUCCAGAACUGCCUUUGAUACUGGCGAUCUCGAGUCCGGGAGAGGUGAGUGGAACUGCGAGUGUAGAGGUGAAAUUCGUAGAUAUUCGCAAGAACACCAGUGGCGAAGGCGGACUCACUGGCCCGGUACUGACGCUGAGGUGGCGAAAGCGUGGGAGCGAACAGG